rnacentral:rRNA from 1 species
UACGAAGGGUGCAAGCGUUACUCGGAAUUACUGGGCGUAAAGCGUGCGUGGGUGGUUUGUUAAGUCUGUUGUGAAAGCCCCGGGCUCAACCUGGGAAUGGCAAUGGAUACUGGCAAGCUAGAGUGCGGUAGAGGGUAGUGGAAUUCCCGGUGUAGCGGUGAAAUGCGUAGAGAUCCGGAAGAACACCGGUGGCGAAGGCGGUCUGCUGGGCAGUUGCUGACGCUGAUGCGCGACAGCGUGGGGAGCAAACAGG